GAUGAACGCUGACAGAAUGCUUAACACAUGCAAGUCGAUGGGGAAGUGGUGCUUGCACCAUGGCAACCAUGGCGGACGGGUGAGUAACGCGUAAGGGACUUACCUGCAGGACUGGGAUAACAGGGGGAAACUCCUGACAAGACCGGAUAAUGUCAUGGAGCUGCAUGGCUUUAUGAUGAAAGGAGACGCCUGCGGAGAGCCUUGCGUCCUAUUAGCUAGUUGGUGAGGUAAUGGCUCACCAAGGCGAAGAUAGGUAGCCGGCCUGAGAGGGUGGACGGCCACAGGGGGACUGAGAUACGGCCCUUACUCCUACGGGAGGCAGCAGUGGGGAAUAUUGGAAAAUGGGGGCAACCCUGAUCCAGCAAUUCUGUGUGCAAGAAGAAGGUUUUCGGAUUGUAAAGUGCUUUCAGCAGGGAAGAAGUAAGUGACGGUACCUGCAGAAGAAGCGACGGCUAAAUACGUG
rnacentral:rRNA from 1 species